AGUGGACGCUGGCGGUAGGCCUAACACAUGCAAGUCGAACGGCAGCACAGUAAGAGCUUGCUCUUACGGGUGGCGAGUGGCGGACGGGUGAGGAAUACAUCGGAAUCUACUUUUUCGUGGGGGAUAACGUAGGGAAACUUACGCUAAUACCGCAUACGACCUACGGGUGAAAGCAGGGGAUCUUCGGACCUUGCGCGAUUGAAUGAGCCGAUGUCGGAUUAGCUAGUUGGCGGGGUAAAGGCCCACCAAGGCGACGAUCCGUAGCUGGUCUGAGAGGAUGACCAGCCACACUGGAACUGAGACACGGUCCAGACUCCUACGGGAGGCAGCAGUGGGGAAUAUUGGACAAUGGGCGCAAGCCUGAUCCAGCCAUACCGCGUGGGUGAAGAAGGCCUUCGGGUUGUAAAGCCCUUUUGUUGGGAAAGAAAAGCAGCAGGUUAAUACCCCGCUGUUCUGACGGUACCCAAAGAAUAAGCACCGGCUAACUUCGUG
rnacentral:rRNA from 1 species